CGAUCACUGUUGCUAUAUAUUCUUGUAACUAUUGCGAAAAUUUAAUGCUCGUGCAACAAUAAAUUGACGUUGAAGACUUAUUUAACUAAAAAAUUAGAGUAAACUGAACAAACCGAUUUUACGUUGCAAUUACCAAAAAAAAAGAUCGACAAUAUCGCAAAAUGGUUACG